UACAUGUAAGUGCAGAAGAUGCUUCAGAGAAAGGAGACAGACUGAUACCUCAACUCUAGUAACUCUCUCAUCAAAUGUCAAAGAAAGUGCUAUCAAGUUGGGGUGUUGGUCUGGAUUAAAGCCAUGGUCUCUCAGCAGUAUAUGAUGCCCAUCUGUGAGAUAUGUUGCUAUGGUCAAUUGGAGUCAACAUCCUGAUGGAGGACAUCUUGGGCCAUUAAAGGGGAGGGGCUCUAAAUUACCUGGGAAGGAGCAGGGCUGCUGUAUGCUUUAAAAGCUGUGCAGAAGAAACAUAUCUCCACUUACCAAAGCUGAAGGGAACAUCCACAAUGCACUGCUGCUUGGAGGGAGUCUAGAAAUUGGCCUGGGACACAUCUUUGGACAUAUACAUGUAAGUGCAGAAGAUGCUUCAGAGAAAGGAGACAGACUGAUACCUCAACUCUAGUAACUCUCUCAUCAAAUGUCAAAGAAAGUGCUAUCAAGUUGGGGUGUUGGUCUGGAUUAAAGCCAUGGUCUCUCAGCAGUAUAUGAUGCCCAUCUGUGAGAUAUGUUGCUAUGGUCAAUUGGAGUCAACAUCCUGAUGGAGGACAUCUUGGGCCAUUAAAGGGUAUUGCCUGUACAUGAUUGCAAUUAUGCAAAGAUUCCCUUAAUCUCCCCAGCAUUCACACUUUUUAGAAAUGUGUGAAUAUCUGCCAAGUUAAGAAGAAAUGCUGACCAAUGUCUCUGAUUGGGGGUGUGUCUGAGGGAGGGGCUCUAAAUUACCUGGGAAGGAGCAGGGCUGCUGUAUGCUUUAAAAGCUGUGCAGAAGAAACAUAUCUCCACUUACCAAAGCUGAAGGGAACAUCCACAAUGCACUGCUGCUUGGAGGGAGUCUAGAAAUUGGCCUGGGACACAUCUUUGGACAUAUACAUGUAAGUGCAGAAGAUGCUUCAGAGAAAGGAGACAGACUGAUACCUCAACUCUAGUAACUCUCUCAUCAAAUGUCAAAGAAAGUGCUAUCAAGUUGGGGUGUUGGUCUGGAUUAAAGCCAUGGUCUCUCAGCAGUAUAUGAUGCCCAUCUGUGAGAUAUGUUGCUAUGGUCAAUUGGAGUCAACAUCCUGAUGGAGGACAUCUUGGGCCAUUAAAGGGGAGGGGCUCUAAAUUACCUGGGAAGGAGCAGGGCUGCUGUAUGCUUUAAAAGCUGUGCAGAAGAAACAUAUCUCCACUUACCAAAGCUGAAGGGAACAUCCACAAUGCACUGCUGCUUGGAGGGAGUCUAGAAAUUGGCCUGGGACACAUCUUUGG